rnacentral:rRNA from 1 species
AUUGAACGCUGGCGGCAUGCUUUACACAUGCAAGUCGAACGGUAACAGGCCGCAAGGUGCUGACGAGUGGCGAACGGGUGAGUAAUGCAUCGGAACGUGCCCAGUCGUGGGGGAUAACGCAGCGAAAGCUGCGCUAAUACCGCAUACGAUCUAUGGAUGAAAGCGGGGGAUCGCAAGACCUCGCGCGAUUGGAGCGGCCGAUAUCAGAUUAGGUAGUUGGUGGGGUAAAGGCUCACCAAGCCAACGAUCUGUAGCUGGUCUGAGAGGACGACCAGCCACACUGGGACUGAGACACGGCCCAGACUCCUACGGGAGGCAGCAGUGGGGAAUUUUGGACAAUGGGCGCAAGCCUGAUCCAGCAAUGCCGCGUGCAGGAAGAAGGCCUUCGGGUUGUAAACUGCUUUUGUACGGAACGAAAAGGUCUGGGUUAAUACCCUGGGCUCAUGACGGUACCGUAAGAAUAAGCACCGGCUAACUACGUG